UUCUUCAGACAACUUUCAAAAUGUGGUAUAAAAGACUUAGUUUGGAGGAAUCUUUUUUUUUUUUUUUUUUAAUGUCUUCUUGGAAUAUAAUUAACAGAGUUCAUAAAGGAUUUAGUAAGAAACUUGCUCUGGAAUAUAGUGUUGGUCUAAAUUUAAAUAGACAUUGAUAUGAAAAAUAAAAAGUAAACAGUGAGGGGCUGGAGCUAUGACUCAGUGGUAGAGUGCUUGCACAGCUCAUAGGAGGCACUUGGUUCAAUCCUCAGCCCUACAGAGAAACAAAUAAAUAAAAAUAAUAGCAGAUGGAGUUUAAAAAAAAAAAAAGAGUGAUUUGGACUUAAAAAAAAAAAAAAGUAAACAGUGAAAUGGAGUUCUGGAAGAAAAUGCAGGCUUAUUUAAUGAAAAAAAUGUGUGUUUUUUUCCAUGAUGUCUUUUGAGUGCAUGUGUGUGUGAUUCUUCUUGAAGAAAUCCAUGUUCAGAUUUAUCAGCUGACUGAAGUAGGCAUUUCGAAUAAAGAAAACUGAAGCCUGAGGAAGCAACCCGACACCCUCCCUUGCCUCCAGUGUGUGGUAUAUUUUAAAAAUGAAUUUUAAUUAUUUGACUUGGCAUUUUAUGGAGGCAAUUUUGUAACACCUCAGAAGAUAUCUGCAGACACCCGGGGUGUCAUAAAUCUAAGAUUAAAAGUCAUUUCUCUGAAAAGAAUAAAACAAAGGACUGUUAACUCUGAUCCAGACAUCUAAGGGGAUCUCCAAAAUAUUUAUACUUCAACUCCCUAUAAAAGCUCUAGCUUGCCUUUUCCCUUACUGAAUACUACAUCUCAAAAUAAACUUCUUUCUCUGAUUUUCAUAUGUAUGUAAAUGAUUUUUCUUAAGUGGAUCUCAGAACAUGUAUUUAUUAUAAGUUUCGUUAUAAAGAUAAACAUUGGUGCAGUUGCAAGAUAGACUGUGGCCGUAAUUACAUCAUUGCUGCCGAAUCACAGGACACCUAAAUUGGGAAUGGUCAGAGUUGGUGCAUAACUGAAAUUUCAAGAAUGGAACUAGGAAUGGAGGAAGUCAUAGUUAGCUAUUCAAAUAAUCAAGGACUUGGAAAAAUCACCUUCAGAUAAGAUUAUAGCAAUUAGUAAGAGCUGUGUGAAUGGGAAAAUAGUAGUUUUGUUUUGUUUUUUUCCACAAGCCCAAAGUUCUAUUUUCCAUGCCUUCCAUCCAAUCACAUGUCACUUCUGUUUGUUAUUUAAUUUUAAAUUCUACAUAUUUUAUGAUUAUGGUGAAAAUAUUUGGGGAAUAACCAGUAACCUUACAAGUAUUAAUAUUAUGUAAAUGGAACAGUGUAUACUGAAGCACAUAAGAUACUCCAUUUCAGUUAGAUAAUUUAUCAUGAUUUUUAACAAAUAAAUAAAAAUUGCAGUCUCAUUUUCUCCCUCUGUUUGGUAAGUAUAAGAGGCUUUACCCAUUCCAAAAAGGAGGGAAGAAAAGUGGUCCUCAGACAUAAAUUCAAGUGGUCGAUGAGAGUACGUGGUUUUUUAAUUGCACUGUUUGAAAGUAUUUUGCCACAUCUGGUGACCAUGCUGUUUAGCAGCAAAUUACUCUAUGGCUUCACAACCUCUAGUUGUUGUCAGUUUGGGGUUUUGGGAGGGGGCUUUCCCCUCCUCCUCCUCUUUGCAACUCUCUCCAGAGCCCACAUAAUUAUCCAGGAGGUUACUCAUGAUGGCCUGUCUCAAGGCUGGUGCAACAUGUGCUAGUGAAACCAUGCAAAAGCCUAAAAUAUGGCAGUACAAUUUCUUUUCACCCACCAAGUGCCAAAAUAAAACCUUUUAUAGACUGUAAGCAUUAAAAAAAAAUGGUAAUAAAAAUAUUAUAAGGCAAAAAAUAUAAAAUGAAUUUCAAACAAUUUGAUUUUUUUCCUUGUUGUCUACUGUAAUGCUUCUAAAAAAGUCUUUUGAAAGAUUUCUUCAUUUGAGUUCCACCCAUACUGAGAACUUGCACACAUGUGUGGACCAGUUAUUGGGUAACUAGGCACCACACAUUGCAGAUACUGCAUCCUUUUGUGGUCAGGCAUUUUUAAUAACCCACAUACCCAGUGUCACUGUUUAAAAACUGACUGAUGAUAUCGUGGAUCCUGGCUUGCCAGCUGUGACAGUGAAAUUGUUGUAUUUAACACUCAUUCAUUUCCCUGACUUCAGCAUUGCUUUGGAGCACUAGACCCUGGGUGUUCUGCCCAGUGAGGUCAUUAAAACUACUCUAUUCUGAAAGCUUGACUUCUUCAGGAAACUGUCUACCAGUGAACUUCGUGAGCACUACCUGCCUGUAAAUAACCCCCUUUCUCUCAUCACAAAAAGACAAGAUGGGAAAAAAGACCAAACAAUAGAAUGAAAAAAAAAAAAAAAAAAAAAAAAAAGGAA